GCCGCCUUAGCUCAGUUGGUUAGAGCAGCUGUUUUGUAAACAGCAGGUCGUGGGUUCGAAUCCGACAGGCGGCU
rnacentral:tRNA from 1 species